AAGUCGUAACAAGGUUUCCGUAGGUGAACCUGCGGAAGGAUCAUUAUCGUGUUUCUUUCCCAGUUUUUCCGCUGGGAAACAAACGUAUUCACCCACUCGUGAACUGGUUUCCACUUAGAACCUUUUGGUUGGGAGGCGGCGAGAGUUGAACUCUGGCUGUUUUCCCUGCCCUUCGUCAAGAAGGACCAAAAGAGUAUUCUUUCUUCUUUUUCAACCUUUAUUCACCACUUGUACCCAAUGUGCUAAACUGGAAUCUUUUCCUAGGAGUGCUGCACUGGCAGCAACUCGGAAAAGAAAGUACGAAAUUGCUGAACAACUCUUAGCAAUGGAUAUCUUGGUUCUC
rnacentral:misc_RNA from 1 species